rnacentral:misc_RNA from 1 species
UACGUAGGGGGCAAGCGUUGUCCGGAAUUAUUGGGCGUAAAGCGCGCGCAGGCGGUUGCGUAAGUCAGAUGUGAAAGCCCAGGGCUUAACCGUGGAGGGUCAUUGGAAAUUGGGGAACUUGAGUGCAGAAGAGGAGAGUGGAAUUCCACGUGUAGCGGUGAAAUGCGUAGAUAUGUGGAGGAACACCAGUGGCGAAGGCGCCUCUCUGGACUGUAACUGACGCUGAGGCGCGAAAGCGUGGGGAGCGAACAGG